rnacentral:rRNA from 1 species
UACGUAGGGGGGUAAGCGUUGUCCGGAAUCAUUGGGCGUAAAGAGCGUGUAGGCGGCUCGGUAAGUCUGCUGUGAAAGUCCAGGGCUCAACCCUGGAAUGCCGGUGGAAACUGUCGAGCUAGAGUCCGGAAGAGGCGAGUGGAAUUCCUGGUGUAGCGGUGAAAUGCGCAGAUAUCAGGAAGAACACCCGUGGCGAAGGCGGCUCUCUGGAACGCAACUGACGCUGAGACGCGAAAGCGUGGGGAGCAAACAGG